AUAUGAAUGUCAAGAACUAUAAAUUCUCUCAAAUGUCUAUAGCAACUGUCUCCUUGCUGGUAAGAGAAGGUAGCUUCAGUCCAUAUAUCAGAUAAAAAGUAAGUAUCAAAGAACAAAUAUUAUGUCUCAAACAAAACAGCUUAUUGAAUAACAACUGAGGGUACCAGCAUGUGAGUCCCAACCAAUGGUGCCCAAAAACUGCAAAGCAUGUGAGAAUGGAUGGACCAAAGCAUGAGGUAGAACAGGACUUUACCCAAAUGGACCUCCCCAAUUAUAUUCUCCGUAGCAAAACAAAAAAUAAAUUAAGAAGAGAACUAGUAAAAGUAAAUCAGGCAACGCAGUUUCCGUCAACACUUACUUCUGAAAUACACAAGAUGGACAAGAAGACUAGAGUGUAUUCAACAGGGAAACUAACAAGAACUAGUGCACUUUAACUUAACACAGAUGUUGCUCUAUAAUAUGAUUUAUAACCACAAACUAGAAAAUAAA